CCAUGCAAUUCAGUUCGGCGGCAAUAAGUGUUCACUGUUGCCACGAAUAUAUUAUCGUUGCUACGAGUUUAUUUUUCAUUGUGAUACUCAAAUGAUUUCGCAACGCUUUAAUUUGUUAGUUGCAAUAAAAAGUCACUCUUGCGACGAUAGGUUUUUCGUUGCUGAGAAUUUUGUUGUCGUUGCAAUAUUAAGAUGAUUUUGCAACGUUUUUACUUGUUGGUUGCAAUAAAAAGUGACUCUUGCCACGAUUGAUUUUCCGUUGCUGAGAGCUUUAUUAUCGUUGCAAUACUAAGAUGCUUUGGCAACACUUUUAUUUCUUGGUUGCAAUAAAAAGUCACUCUUGCCACGAUUAAUUUUCCAUUGCUAAUAGUUUUGUUGCUGAUGCAAUACUAUACAGUUAAAAUGUUUAAUAUAAUAUUAAAAAAAAUAAAAAAACGCUUCAAAUGAGAUUCGAGCCUGGAACCUCUGAGUUUUAGAAGCCACACACUAACCAUCUCAACCUUUUGGUGUUUGUGCCUUCUCUAGCCACAACACGAUAUAUAUAAUAAUGUAAACGUGUUUAAUUACAUAAUGGAAGCUAGAUUAAUCUACUCGAUGCAACCGAUCGGUCUUCUCUGCUCUAUAUCGCGCUCGUCCAUUGCCGGCCCUAAUUCUUCCUCGCACUCGGGUCCGGCGAUCUCCUCGCUGGUGGCCGCCGUCGCUGUCCUCGCUGCCCUCGCUGGUGGCCGCCGUCGCUGCCCUCGCUGGUGGCCGCCGGUGAUCUCCUCACUGCCCUUGCUAGUGGCCGGCGUUCCCCUCGCUGCUGAUCGACGACGUCCUCCAUCACCGGCCGGCCAGAGAUACGACACGCGAUUGGCCGUUGCUGCCCUCGC
rnacentral:lncRNA from 1 species